CGGCGGACGGGUGAGUAACACGUGGGUAACCUACCUAUAAGACUGGGACAACUUCGGGAAACCGGAGCUAAUACCGGAUAAGAUAUCGAACCGCAUGGUUCGAUAGUGAAAGAUGGUUUUGCUAUCACUUAUAGAUGGACCCGCGCCGUAUUAGCUAGUUGGUGAGGUAACGGCUCACCAAGGCAACGAUACGUAGCCGACCUGAGAGGGUGAUCGGCCACACUGGAACUGAGACACGGUCCAGACUCCUACGGGAGGCAGCAGAG
rnacentral:rRNA from 1 species